CUCCCAAAAAUGUUUGAAACAUGUAGGGUGCAAUUUGUGGAUUAAUUUGUUUUUAAUUUGAUUGGUGAUCCCUUGUUUAAGUAGGCUAAUAAAGCCUAAUAACUUCCAAAAGAUAUCGUCACUGAACCCCCCCCCCCAAAAAAAACAGAAACACCUACAAUUACAACUGCAAGUUCAUGCAUGUAAUAGUUUAUCCAGAAUGUAAUCAAUAUUUAGAUUUUUUUGGCACCCUCAGAUUCUAGAUUUUCAAAUAGUUUUUCAAAUGUAUCUGUAUAUGGCAAAUAUUGCGAUCCCUAUGAGUGGUUUUGUUGUCUAGGGUCACAUAUAAGGAUAGAAUAUUUUUUAUAAAAAUCUAAGACUUCGUUCACACUGCAGGCUGAAACGACCAAUUCCGAUUUUUUUGCCCCAUGCGACCUGUAUCUAAUGUUUUCAUGACAGUUUGAACGACACAGAUCUGAUAUUUUCAAAUCUGACCCAGGCCACUUGGGUAUGUGGUCCUGAAUCAGGUACGUAUCCGAUCUUUUGAAAUGUGACCUCCGUCUGAACGGCCAGGCCACAUGUAUCCGACCCGUACGUCAUUGAUGCGCUACAACCCUCAUAAUUCUGCGUUGAAGUAGGCCGGAAGGAGAAGAAACAACAAUCAUGGAGGACGAUGCUGCUGAGUCCAGUCAAUGGAAGGGAAGCGAGGUCACAGAUUUGAUUAAUAUUUGGGGUGACAGUUCUAUUCAGGCCAAACUCAAGGGCUCUUAUCGGAACCGGGCGGUAUACGAAAAUAUUUCCCACGAAAUGGCCGAGCGUGGUUACAGACGAUCCUGGCUUCAAUGCCAGCGAAAAAUUAAAAGCGUCCAAGCCAAAUACAAGGAGGUUAAAGACUGGAACAAACGAAGUGGCCGUCAACGUAUCACCUGUCCAUUUUACGAAGAGUUGGACCACAUUUUGGGGGAUAAGCCUGUUGGACAGCUGCUUUGUCCAAGAGGAGCCUGAGGAGGAGAGCCCAGGUCCCGCAGCUGGCCAGCGUAGCUAGUGGCUCUUUCGGUGAUACAGGUGAUGGGACCCUUCUAGCUCUUUCGCCUUCUGCCUCUACCUGUGAUGAAAGUUCUGCAGCAAGUGAAGAUACAUCUGUGAACAGCCAUGCAUCUUUCAAACCCACUUCUUGUAUGUUUUUGGCUGUAUUUUAAUCGUUUUCCAACUCAAGAAAACAGGUACAUAUUACAGUAAAAUGCA